ACGAGGGAGGCUGCCCAGGUGUGCCUCGUCACUAUUUCUGUUUUUAGCUGGUGUCUUCAUUCUUUGCUCACUGCAGAGCUGCUUUAUUUAAUGGGCCUUUUUCACAGCAGGAAAUGCAACUAAUAACAUUAACGAUGGUUUCGCUUCAUUGGAGUCCCAGUGAGCUGUGACAGUGAGCCAGCAUGCACAAUAACAGCUCUCUUUCCGUACAGGUGGUGAUGAACACCGGAUCCUCGUCUAUCAAUGGCUCAUGAAGAACCUGGAGACACACGGGCGAUGUUAGUGUACACACAUAACAGCCAUAUGCUGGUUCACCUCCCAGGGUGCCACAGUGCAACACAUGUCACAGGAUGGAUACAGCCAGGAUGGCAUCGCUGUGAUGCUUCAGCUGAGGCAGAAGAGAUGGGAGAGAGGAGGACAAAUCCAAACGAAGCCUGACAGAAGGCGCUGCACCAUAAACCCAGACCCCCACUCCCUGAUGCAUGCUAGUACUUAGUGAUAGAUAAAUGGAUAAAAACUGUUCCGUAGAAGAGACAGACGUUGCAUGUACAUGCUGUCUAGCAGCGGGGGUUUUAAACAGAAAGAGAUGCUUGCUUUGGGGCAUUUUAUCACAAAGAUAUAUGAGACAAAGAAAGACUGUGAGUGCACAGUGCUGUUUCACUGUCACGACUCACACACACACACACACACAUUCAAAGAGAAAGUGUGCAGCCAGAAUCCUUGCGCUUGUAUCUUGUGCUAAUAAAAGUUAUGAGUUCUGGUGGUGCAGGAGGACAAAGGCCAGCAUCACAGUACACCAUGCUUUAUGUAAUGUGUGUGUGCAUAUGUGUGUGCAUAUGUGUGAGGGGAGACAUCAUGCUGCCCUGCCCUGCCCUGCCCUGAAACAUGAACACACACACACACAGGACAGCAUGUGUACCACAGCACCAAGGGGUGAAUAUCAAAGGCUUUUUGCCAUUAACUUAAUACAGCAAUUAAUGAUGCAGUGACAUGUGGUUCUCUAGCUGCCACUCACUCACUGGCUGGGAUACAAAAUGACACAAAGCAUCCACUUGUUUCCAAAGCAAUAGGCUUUUUGUGUGCAGACUGAGAGCCAUGCACAGAAAUGGCCUAUAACCUGACCAGUGAAAACACAUGAACUGCACUAUUUCUUGUUAUUGAAUUGUUAUGUUUGUUUUAUGUCUGCAACCGUGUAACUGUGGUGCUGCC